GACACAAUGGCCUGAGUAGCCCAAUCUCUUGGGCUUGGGUUGAUCCAGCCCAAGAUGGGCCGGGUUGGUGUUUGGGGCCCAACAGAACAUAAUUGUUCCCUAGACGAGAGGUACCUCGAAACGUGCUUGAGUUUUGGGCCAACAAAAUGGGUUCUAUUAAUGUAGGGUAUAUUAUAUAUUUAUAAUUUAUAAAUUAACAUAACCGUUAGAUGAUAUGAUGUCUGGAUUAUGUGUACAACCUUAAUAGUUAAUACAAAUAAUCAAUCCCGAAGGAACACGAGGGACCCAAACGACAUGGCCGGGGGUCGUUCCUCUUUCGUCGCACAUUGAAACCCUGAUGGAACAUUAGCAUAUUCCAGAGGAAUGUUUGGGUUGGCUUUAUCAGCUUUGAGCCUUGGAGCCUUUACCCGCGGGAAUAUUACUACGCAUAACAUAGAUUCCUUUGUGUCCCUGGGCUAUUCAGCUUCUUCAAAAGCGAAUAUCACCACAAUGAGUCAAUGAUGUUCCUGAAUCCAGAUGAUGCGCCAGCUUGGGAUUCCCAUUUGGCCAUCAGAAGUCUGAACUUGUUUUAUUUGCUCUCUGUUUUCAAGUCACAAAACAUGAACAUCUUUGUAUUUUGCUUGUGGAACAUAAAAUGCACUGUUAUAUAGUCUUUCGAGACACUCAGACAUGUUUUGUUGUAUUAUGCAAGUAUUGUACGAAGAGAAAGUAGGUCAUCCAGUCUUGUUUUUCACCUCAUCUGCAUACAGAGCCGAAGGAACUAGCCAUGUAACAAAUGAAAGAAUAUGUUAGUGUCAUCCUGGAAGGAUUCCCUCUAACCCUGGCCAUUGAAACUUCAGAAAACCUUCCUUUUUUCCCCUCUAAUAAAACUUGGAAAACGACAUCGCUGCAUUACA